UCUACACGUAAGGAGUCGUCGGCAGCGUCAGAUGUGUAUAAGAGACAGAAGUGGUACACCGAAGCAGCGGGCUCUAGUUUACUAGAGCGGUAGGAGAGCGCCGAUGAUCAGAUACGAGCCGUACGGUAACGAGCGGUGUCGGGGUCAUCGGGUGAUUAUGCCGGAAUGAGUAACGAUAAAACAGGUGAGAAUCCUGUUCGCCGAAAGCCUAAGGUUUCCUGGGGAAGGCAAUUCCGCCCAGGGUUAGCCGGUACCUUAGUCGAGGCCGAAAGGCGUAGACGAUGGAUAGCAGGUCAACAUUCCUGCGCCGGUUGUGUAUUCGAUGUGGGGACGGCGUCCAGAAAGUGAGCGGUACGAAUAGAAAUGUCCGUAGCGAAAGCUGAGAUAUCCGGGGUUAAAAUACCGGUGUUCGUCAAGGCUGAGCUCGAGAGCGUUUAAGUUCUCGAAGUUAUUGGAAGGACGUCCAAGAAAAGCCACUAGGUUAAGCAACUGACCGUACUAAAACUGACACAGGUAGGUGAGAAGAGAAUUCUAAGGCGCUCGGGAGAACGGUGGUUAAGGAACUCUGCAAAAUGGCCCCGUAAGUUCGCGAUAAGGGGCGCCCUCUUUGGUUUACGCUGAAGGGGGCCACAGAAAAUCGGCUCUAACGACUGUUUAUCAAAAACACAGGUCUCUGCUAACACGCAAGUGGAUGUAUAGAGACUGACGCCUGCCCGGUGCUGGUAGGUUAAGGAAGACGGUUAGCCUCACGGCGAAGCUGGCGACCGAAGCCCCAGUAAACGGCGGCCCUAACUAUGAGGGUCCUAAGGUAGCGAAGUUCCUUGUCGGGUAAGUUCCGACCUGCAUGAAAGGCGUAACGAUUUGAGCACUGUCUCAACCACCGACCCGGUGAAAUUGUAGUUGUGGUGAAGAUGCCACAUACCCGCGGUUAGACGGAAAGACCCCGUGAACCUUUACUGUAGGCUGAUAUUGGGUUGAGAUAUGUCUUGUGUAGGAUAGCUGGGAGGCUUUGAACAGAUGGCGCUAGCCAUUUGGGAGCCGUUGUUGAAAUACCAGCCUGGUCAUAUUUUAAUUCUAACUUUGAUCCCCUGAAUCGGGGCAAAGGACAGUGUCAGUCGGGCAGUUUGACUGGGGCGGUCUCCUCCCAAAGAGUAACGGAGGAGUACAAAGGUACACUCAGCCUGGUCGGCAAUCAGGCGUAGAGCGUAAAGGUAGAAGUGUGCUUGACUGCGAGACUCAUAAGUCGAGCAGGAACGAAAGUUGGUCUUAGUGCUGUCUCUUAUACACAUCUGACGCUGCCGACGACUCCUUACGUGUAGAU
rnacentral:rRNA from 1 species